rnacentral:tRNA from 1 species
CCCCGCUUAGCUCAACGGCUAGAGCGUUCGGCUGUGCCCUGUUAUUAUCUAUGGCAGGGAGCCAAAGAUGCGCUUUCGACCUUAUGUGCUAAACAAGGGAUGACAGAGAGCCAGCCAACACCGAGAGGUUGCUGGUUCAAAUCCGGCAGCGGGGA